ACUUUGUUUGAUCCUACAAGGUUGACUUCUGGGUCCGAGGGCUGCUGGAUUAUUCUGUUCAAUAUUGAAAUCACAUGUAUUUGAAAUUGGAAAAGCAUUUAUUGAACAUUCAUUUAUGACCUUUUGUUCAUUGAACAUCAGAAUCAGCUUUAUUGAGCAAGUUUGUGCAUCCCAAACAGGGAAUUUGACUUGGGUUGAUCUCGGCCUCUGUACAACAUUUAACAUAACAUAACGUGCGGGGAUAUCCCGGUUGACUUGCGUAUGCACGGCUCAGAACGGAAACACCAAAUAAUCGUUUGUCCUCGAUUAUAUGAAUUUUGAGAUUGUCUUUGAUUAAUUGAGCAGCCCUACUGGAUCCUGGAUAGCAAACGAAUGCACGGACCGCUUUCCAUACUGGUUUGGUAACAAAAUGUCCUCCACUGCUUUAUGUCGUGUUGGUUAGAGCUGCUUGCUAUUGCAAUGAAGAACUAUGCAUGUACAUUUCUUUGGUUGUGAAUUUUAAUGUGUGGUGAUGAUGAGGGAAGGUGACAAUGGUCAGGGCAAAUGACUUCUGUCCCACACUGCUUCCAACGUCUGACUUCUUUCCCAAUUUGAUAGACUGAAUCACAAGCGCUGCUGAUGUCCACCAGUCGGACUUGUGAAGAAGGAAGUCCUCUGUAAAUAUUCUGUGCAGGGGAGGAGUUAAACGUGAGUGUUGUGUUGACCUCAAUGGUGUAAAAAAUAAUAAUAAUAGUACUGUUCAUUUGCUUGGGGUCGCUCUUGUUUACUGUACUCUUUGAUACUGGAAUGCCAGAUAUAUUUCUAGAGCAAAAUUUGGAUUUUAUGCAAUCUGUUUUCAUUUCAAUUAAAAGCAAUAAAAGGAGAAAUGUGUUGUCAUGAA